AUUGUUAACUAAUUUGUUACUUUAUAGCUAUAAGAAGUUUAAAGUCACUUCAAUUAUUAUCGAUACCAUUCAACCUACUAACUGAUCUACCACAAGGAUUGUUUGAGCUGUACUCAUUAGAGGAGCUUGAUGUAUCACACAAUAGCCUCCAAUGGAUAUCAAGGGACAUACAGCAACUGUGUAACUUAAAGAGGCUCAAUGUGCAGUGUAAUCAGUUAUCAGGACUACCAGUUACUACACUAAACAUACAAUUACAGCAACUACUGGUGGAUAGUAACUACUUCCAUCAGUUACUGUGGAAAGAAAACACACACAACUCACCACAAGUAAAUAAUAAUAAUAAUA